UUGUAAAAUGUUUGGUGUCUUGACCGUUCGAACAUAAUAGCUUUCAGUAUGAUUGCUAAAAUAACAGCCAAUGAAUCAUAAGUUUGGCUCAGGAAGUCCGUAGCAGUGGUAUAAUUAUAAAUUGAAAACGAAAGUAGAAAGGUUGCGCAGCUGUCUGCUAAAAAACAUGGCGAUGCUCAUUGUGUCCAUGUGGAAAAAAAGAAGUUACGUACAUAAUAGAUUCAAUUUACAAGAAAUGACUGAAUUAUGUUCGUAACAAUGACACAAAGAUCCAAGAAUCAAAAUAGACGACCUAGGAUAUUUAGCAAUCCAUCUGACAAUUUACUUGUCUGCAUUAAUUCUCUUUGAAAGCUAGUCUAUUAUUAAGCUUUGAAAUGAAAUAUUAAAAGUAUUAAAGACAAGUGUUCAA